rnacentral:lncRNA from 1 species
CGUGCUUGAAUUCACUGGUAAGGGAAAAACAAAAGUUGUUUAUGAAGGUUUGGAAGGGAAUUGAACAGUCAUAUGGAUGCUACAAACCUCAAAGGAGGGGUAAUAUGUCAGUGUCAAGACAAAACACGAGAUACCCAAAAUUUUGCCCGGUUUGGUGUUUGGGAAAAAUGAGUUGGGGUUUGGAUCCAUGAAAAUUAGGGUGAAAAUUCAAGGGAGAUCUGUAAAGCUGCCCCAGUCUUGAGAUUUUGGGUUGAUGAAUUUCAAGGUGAAGACGCGUGGUGAAAUCCACAAAGCUGCCCCAGUUUUUUUUUCUUUGGCAUAGGGUUUUGUUUGGAAGAGGUGGUGGGCAUGAAAAGGAUCGGCUAACAAGGUUGGCCCUAAUUGGUUUGAUUUUUUUUUUUGCUUCUGGCUAGUUAAUAAGGAGAUCCCCUUUUCCUGAGACAUUACUUUUUCCUCUUCUUUUGUUUUUUUUUUGUUUUUUUCUUUUCAACUUUUUUUUUUACGACACAUUGAAAGUCACUUCGCCUUAUCGCAAAAUUAAGCUUUAUGAAAAUUUGAGCAAUCAUUAUCCAAUCUGUGUGGGCUUUAUUAGGCUUGUAACGUGGCUAGGGGCUAAAAGGUAUUAGAAGAAAGGGUAUAAAGGCCCAAAUGAAUUUUGUCGGUUAUAUUUCUGAAACAAGGGUUAUCAUCUAAGUAUUGCAUCAACUCUUUGACUUUUCGAACACUUUGCUUUUUCCUCGAACUUUGGUUUUUAUUCUUUUUGCUCAACAUCACUUUGUGAUUGAUUUUUUUGUUAUUUUUUGUUUUCUUUUUGUUAACUCUUCUUGGUGAAUGCGUCAUGAGUUGACUCCCUCUAUUGAUAACCCUUGUUUGGGGAUAAUUUUGAAAAAGAAUUUACUUUUGGC